rnacentral:rRNA from 1 species
AUUGAACGCUGGCGGCAGGCUUAACACAUGCAAGUCGAGCGGAGAGAGGUAGCUUGCUACUGAUCUUAGCGGCGGACGGGUGAGUAAUGCUUAGGAAUCUGCCUAUUAGUGGGGGACAACAUUUCGAAAGGAAUGCUAAUACCGCAUACGUCCUACGGGAGAAAGCAGGGGAUCUUCGGACCUUGCGCUAAUAGAUGAGCCUAAGUCGGAUUAGCUAGUUGGUGGGGUAAAGGCCUACCAAGGCGACGAUCUGUAGCGGGCCUGAGAGGAUGAUCCGCCACACUGGGACUGAGACACGGCCCAGACUCCUACGGGAGGCAGCAGUGGGGAAUAUUGGACAAUGGGCGGAAGCCUGAUCCAGCCAUGCCGCGUGUGUGAAGAAGGCCUUAUGGUUGUAAAGCACUUUAAGCGAGGAGGAGGCUACUUUAGUUAAUACCUAGAGAUAGUGGACGUUACUCGCAGAAUAAGCACCGGCUAACUCUGUGCCAGCCGCCGCCGUAAUAC